CACCAGGUUGAUUCUGCCUGACGUAGAUGCUAGUUCUUGAGGCUAAGCCAUGCAUGUUUUUGAUGCGAAUUUUUUGCGGAUUGAUGGACGGCUCAGUAAUACUCCUAUGAUUUGAUCGUGUUUGGCGCUGAUAACUACGGGGAAACCUGUAGGAUAGGCGCGCUGCUAGGGUAUUGCCUGUGGUGGUAUGUGUGCCGAGUAAGUUGCAGGCCUAUCAGCUGGUAGCUAGGGUAAUGGCCUAGCUAGGCGGCGACGGGAGACGGGGAAUUAGGGUUUGAUUCCGGAGAGGGAGCCUGAGAGAUGGCUACUACGUCCAAGGAUGGCAGCAGGCGCGAAACUUGUCUAAUCCUUGUACUGGGAGACAGUGAUGGAACGUGAGGGAUUGAGCUGGGUUGCAAAGAGACCUGGUGUGAUUGGAGGGCAAGUCGGGUGCCAGCAGCUGCGGUAAUACCUGCUCCAAUAGUGUCUAUGAUGAAUGCUGCGGUUAAAAUAUCUGUAGUCGGGUCUGUUCCUGUAUGUCCUUGAAGGGGUCUGUUUGUGGGGCCAGCUGGAUGUAUGGGGGGAUGUUAGCAACGGACGGGGGGCACUGGAUAGUUGGGCGAGAGGUGAAAUGUGCUGACCCUGACUGGACGGACUGAGGCGAAGGCGGUGCUCUUGUACGGAUGUGUUGAUCAAGGAUGAAGGCUGGAGGAUCGAAAUCGAUUAGAUACCGUUUUAGUUCUAGCAGUAAACGAUGCCGACUGUGCGGUAUGUGUGGUACUGUGCAUGAGAAAUUUGAGUAUGUGGGCUCCGGGGAUAGUAUUUUCGCAAGGAUGAAACUUAAAGAAAUU
rnacentral:rRNA from 1 species